UAAUUGAAGAGUUUGAUCAUGGCUCAGAUUGAACGCUGGCGGCAGGCCUAACACAUGCAAGUCGAACGGUAACAGGAAGCAGCUUGCUGCUUUGCUGACGAGUGGCGGACGGGUGAGUAAUGUCUGGGAAACUGCCUGAUGGAGGGGGAUAACUACUGGAAACGGUGGCUAAUACCGCAUAACGUCGCAAGACCAAAGAGGGGGACCUUCGGGCCUCUUGCCAUCAGAUGUGCCCAGAUGGGAUUAGCUUGUUGGUGAGGUAACGGCUCACCAAGGCGACGAUCCCUAGCUGGUCUGAGAGGAUGACCAGCCACACUGGAACUGAGACACGGUCCAGACUCCUACGGGAGGCAGCAGUGGGGAAUAUUGCACAAUGGGCGCAAGCCUGAUGCAGCCAUGCCGCGUGUAUGAAGAAGGCCUUCGGGUUGUAAAGUACUUUCAGCGGGGAGGAAGGUGUUGCGGUUAAUAACC
rnacentral:rRNA from 1 species